AGUACAUAUUUUUAUGUUGUGUGUAUAUUUUUUGCAUCUUUACCCUUCGUCACAUACAUUGUAGGCUUUCAUAAGGUAAGUUCACUGGCACUGCACACUCAGAGGCAGAUUAAGGGUGGGGGAGGGGAAACGCCCCCAUUUUCUGGAAAAAGUUGGUUGAUUAUAUAGGGAAUCACUGAAGCAUGACCGGAUCGGGCACCCUCUUAGGCAGUCAGUGGGCAUCCACUUAUGACUGGAUCCGCCACUGAGUCACUAACUGAGUGUCUGCAAAAUUUCAAAUGGCAUAUUUCAUUGCUUUCUUUGCAAGAACUUAUUUUGAACUUUGCAUCAUUUGUUUGAAGUUUUGGUGUUUAUAGCUUAUAGCUCGGUCUCUUUUAAAGAGGAAGAAAUAUGUUGCUAUCUUACACAGUAAUGAAACGACCAUUUGUUGUUUUUUUUAACGAGGGGAAUGGGCACAGGAGGGUGUUUUGCCAGAACUUUUCGUCCGUUGCUACGCAGCAUGCUAAACGCGACAUCCGCACAACUUUGUUUUCCUGCAUAAUGUGUUGCAGAAUAUUCAUGUCUUGUUCAAACUUGUUUAUUUUCAGCUUUUUAUCAAAUUAUCAAACACAUUCUUCGAUAGUCAAAGACCUUUAAAUAAAGUAACUUAAUUGACAUAUCUAAAGAAAUUGAUAGAUUGGUGAUCACGUCAAUAUUGUUCUAUAGCUUUAUUUUCUUUUAAAGAUUCCACACAGCUAUUAUUCUUACAACAUGAAGAGACCAGUUUUACUAUGUGUUGUUAUGUUAAUACUUGCUGUUGAUAGUAAGUUUUGCUGUGCUUCAAAUACAAUACACAAAUGUUUGCUUCUCUUUAUUUGAAUUGUCCGAAUUUCGAAAUUCUAACAACCUGCUGAAAUAUAAAGGCAACUUUAAAUUUACAGUGGAAAAACUAUUUACAUGCAAAGAAAUUUCUUCCGUUGAGGACAGAAUAUGUACUGGUAUAUGAAUCUAUUUACAAACACUUAUAUACAAUACAAUGGUUUCAGAAGAAUAUACAAUUUAGCCAGAAGGACCGAGUCUGGACCCACAUACUUUAUGGACUUGCUUCAUCUUUUUAGCUCAGAAUUUUUGUUUAAUUUGCUCAUCAAUUUUCUAAUCUUUAGUGUAUUAUCAUUAGCCAAAUAGUAUUUUCAAAGGUAUAAUUUUCUACGGUCGUUAAAAAUGUACAUUCUAGUUAGAUAAUGAAAUUCGUCUCCAAUGCUACCAAUAUUACAAAGAUGACAUUUUCUUUAAUUUCUAUUAACAUUAUUCGACCUGCCUACAUCUCUAUUGGGAUAAUCAUUAUUUUUGUUUCAGUCAUGGAAUCACGUGAUUAUUGUUCUGGAAGGGCUGAAAUGGGAUGCAGUCUAUUUUGUAGUCGGCUACCAACACCAUGUCCAUUUUUCACGUGUAGUAAGAAAGAUUCUGAUGUCACAUGUCUUUGCCAGCGUUGCUUCGGCAAAUAUUAACAUUCUGCAAUUUCUGGUAAUUUCUUUAUUUAACUUUCAUUCAUUAUAAGAUCUUAUAAGUGUAGCAAUUUAAACAGAGAAUGGAGGACGUGAAAAACGUUUGAUAAAAAUUUGCUCUACAUUGCUUAUUAUUGAAACAUUAAAAUUGAGAAUGGAAAUGUGCCAAAGAGACAACAACCCGACCAUAGAAAAAAAAACAACAGCAGAAGGUCACCUGUAGCGAGACAACCUAUUUGUAUAAUUGGUAAUCGCUGCAUUAUAAAAGAUUUAGAACAGUAAUCGAAAUGGGUAAUCUCCGUAUAAAUGAUAGAAUUCAUUAGAAAUGACCACAGAUCAUCAAAAUCAUGUGCGUGUAUUUAAUCAGAAACACAAAGCUGAUUACAAAAUCCCAUACAAAAUCCUGAGGUAUUCAUCUUUUCAGGACCAAAAUACUUUAAAAUGUUAAAACAGCUUAUUAGAAGUUAAAUAUGCUUAAAUUAUUUCUCAUUUUAGGAGCAUUUACAUGGAGGAGUAAAUUCAGAUCUAUAGAGAAUCUAGUAUGUUUUCGUCAUAUAAUAAACAUUAUGUUUCAUAAACUUGAUUCUUAUUUCAUGAAUAUCAGUACAC
rnacentral:lncRNA from 1 species